rnacentral:rRNA from 1 species
GGACCCGCACAAGCAGUGGAGCAUGUGGUUUAAUUCGAAGCAACGCGAAGAACCUUACCAGGUCUUGACAUCCCUCUGAAUACGGCAGAGAUGUCGUAGGCCCCUUAUGGGGACAGAGGAGACAGGUGGUGCAUGGUUGUCGUCAGCUCGUGUCGUGAGAUGUUGGGUUAAGUCCCGCAACGAGCGCAACCCUUGGUCCUAGUUGCCAGCACUUCGGGUGGGCACUCUAGGGCGACUGCCGGUGACAAACCGGAGGAAGGCGGGGAUGACGUCAAAUCAUCAUGCCCCUUAUGACCUGGGCUACACACGUGCUACAAUGGCCGGUACAAAGGGCUGCGAAGCCGCGAGGCGGAGCCAAUCCCAAAAAGCCGGUCUCAGUUCGGAUUGCAGGCUGCAACUCGCCUGCAUGAAGUCGGAAUUGCUAGUAAUCGCGGAUCAGCAUGCCGCGGUGAAUACGUUCCCGGGUCUU